GUGUUCUAAUAGCUUUGGCGAAUCGCAUGGCCUUGUGCGGGCGAUGGUUCGUUCUUAUUUUGGCCCUAUGAAGUUUCGAGGGUAUGAUAUAGGCCUAGUAUGGUAUUUACGGGGAACGGGGAAUGUUGGUUCGAUGCCGGAUAGGGAUCCUGAGAAACGGCUACCUCAACCAAGGAAGGCAGCAGGCGCGCAAAUUACCCAAUCCCAACACGGGGAGGUAGUGACAAUAAAUAACAAUACAGGGCCCUUACGGGUCUUGUAAUUGGAAUGAGUACAAUUUAAAUCCCUUAACGAGGAACAAUUGGAGGGCAAGUCUGGUGCCAGCAGCCGCGGUAAUUCCAGCUCCAAUAGCGUAUAUUAAAGUUGUUGCAGUUAAAAAGCUCGUAGUUGAAUUUUAGCCCUGGCUGGGCGGUCCUCCUUUCGGUUGGUACUGCUCUGGCUGGGGUUCACCUUCUGGCAAGCCAAUGGCACGCUCAUCUUCGCGGGUGGGUGCGUUGGGGAACCAGGACUUUUAC
rnacentral:rRNA from 1 species